CGUGUAUGUGCAGCGCUGUCCUGGGCUGGGGGGAGACUCUGCUAAGUGCCACCCGGGCCAGGCAUGAGCUACAAGGCCACACUGGGGCCAGGGUCAGGGGAGGAAGUGUGGACUGGCAGCUGGGCAGAGGAUAAGACAGCAGGCCCAGUCUGGGUUCUCGAUGGCUCUGUGAUGUUGGGAGAGACACCUCCCCUCCCUGGACUCGCCUCCUUGUCUGUAAAUCAAAGGGCUGCCCAGUCUGAGCUAGUGGUGCUCAGAUUCUGCUCACUCUCCUCCUUCCCUUGCUGGGGUGGUAGAAGGGGGGCAGGGCUUGAAGACGGCCUUUCCUGUAACUAGAACCCGGACCCACACCCAUCCCCUGCAGCCUUCUUUGGGGGCAGGUGGUGUCUUCUCUUAACUGGUGGGGGCAGGGACUAGCCCAGUCUCAGUCUGCACCUUGUUGGAGCUGGCUGCCCUGUUUGGCAGAGUUGCCACACCUGGCUUCCAGGACUCUGCACCCUCUAGAGUCCCCUCCGGCCUCCCUGGCUCCUCUCCUUCCGCCCUCUCUGCUGACUUGUUUCUCUUUUCAUGACCUCUAAAUGUUGGGGGUCCCCAGGGCCCAGUCCUUGGUCCUCUCAUGCAGGGGUGGGGCACCUGUGGCCUUCUGAUUUCAGGAUUGUUCUUUUUUUAAGCACCAAAAAAGGUAAGAGAAGUUUCAUUGUUCUCUGCUGCACCCCUUUUCAUAAAAGAAUUUGUUCUAUAAAAUUUGGAUUCAAUCAAAAGGGUGCACUCAAGGUUCCAGAGACCACAUGUGGCCCCAAGGCCAUAGGUUCCCCAGCCCUGCUCAGAGGCAAUCUCAUCCUGUUUCGAUUUUAUGCUGAUUUUUCACCAGUUUAUAGCUCACCAGAGCUCCACCCUGGACCUCUCCCCUGAAUCCUGGCAGUAUAUUUCCUGUUGUCCUGUCUCCAUUUGGCUGUCUACCAGGACUCGACAACUCCGUGUGUCUGAUGCUGAGCUGAACUCGCAAUCCUGCCCCAAAUCUGCUCUCUCUGCAGCACCCCCAGCUCCCGUGAUAGCUGCUCCCUUCUUCCAAGGGCUCAGGUGCAAUUUUCAGACUCAUCCUUGACUCUUUCCUUUUUCUCAGUUCCUUACCUGAUCUUGCAGGAAAUUCUUCUGGAUUUAACCUUCAAAGUAUGCCCAGAAUUCAACUACUUCCCAUGGUUACCACCCUGGUCUGAGCCACCAUCAUCUCUUGCUUAGAUUAAUGCAACAGCCCUUGAAUCCGCUGCCCUGACUCUUCCUUGUGCCCAUGUGGUCUAUUCUUCACAUUGCAGCCAGACUGAAUUCUUUAAUACACUUACCGUGUUAAGUCAUUAUUCAGCUCAAAAUCCUACUAUGGCUUAAACAUGUCCUUACAACAGCCUGGUCCAGCCCUCUGCCCUCUGACCUCAUCUCUCACUGACCUUCCCUUUUCCUCCCUCUGCUCUUCCAGGCUAUUCCUUGAGUGUAUGGUUUCAUGAACCAAUAUGAGGAAGGAGGAUGAACCAGAGUGGGAAUGGUGGGGAACGAGGAGAUAAGACACAUAAGAGAUGUACAAAGAUGGGAUCAGAGUGGCCAGAACAGCUAAGACUGCAGCCAGCACCGAACUGCGAUUCUAGCUCUAUUUAUAUAGUGCCUUAAACAAGGUUGCUUAAUGAUGUAAAUCUUAGCACAUGGAGUAAAGAUUAACUUUAGGGAGAAAAAGCUGUGUGCUUGCUGGCACGAGAAAAAGGAAACUAUGCAGGGGCCACGUGACUUCUGGCAGAGGAGAAGUAGUUCUGGGGGUGUGUGGGGGCCUUGUUCCCUCACAGCCUGUACUCCACAGGAUGGGCACACACCUCCUCAGGGGCUUGGCCUUUGGGGGGGGGGUGUCACUGUUUCCCUCCCUCUCCCUCUUGAAUCUAAGUUCCUUGAGAGCAAAGAACUUUCUUUUGUUCACUGCUAUAUCCCAAGUUCCUGUAACAGUGACCAGCAAUAGUAAGUACUCAAUAAAUAUUUGUUGAACAAAUUUGAAGAGAUUAAGAGAGGUCUGGGUUGUGGACUGGCCUUUCACAUUUGCCUUUCAGGCAAUGAUGGUGGGACUUAACAUUUAGAGCAGUGAAGACCAGUGAUUUUGCUCCCUAGGGGCCAUUUGGAAAUAUCUGAAGGCAUUUCUGAUUGUCAUUACUUUGGGUAUGCCACUGGCAUGAAGUGGGUAGAGGACACAGAUGCUGCUAAACAUUCCAGAAGGCACUGGACAUCCCCCUACCCCAGCCCCAAGCACAAACAAUUAUCUGCUCUGAAAUGCCAGUAAUGGCACUGUCGAGGAAUCCUGAUUUGGACUCUUGCCACCAAGUGAGUUUUGGAAGGAACAGGAGAAGUAGAGGCUGAGGGUGUGUGUGUGUGUGUGUGUGUGUGUGUGUGUGUGUUGGUGGGGGAGGGAGUUUCUGGCAGCCAGGGCCCAUUCCAGGUACCACGAGCCCGGUGUGGCCAGGGACCUAGGAAGACCAACUUCCUUUGCAGAUGUGCAGUUGAAUCAGCAAAGCUGCCAAAUCCUGCCAUUUAAUUCUUAGAGUCCAUUUCAUUCUCUUGAGGCUCAUCUCUAGACACGAUUUUUUUUUUCUGCCUAGGGAGAACUGGAGAUAAGAGGAGGCAUCUGAAAACAAUCUUUCUUUUCCCCUUUCCUAAUGAUGCCUGGUGGAGCCUCAUUGGAAGACCAACGUCUUUCCCCACAAGCUCAUGCUAUGCCCAGCCCGACCAGCAGAGGGAGCUGCGCGUCGUCCCUGGCCGAGAAACCCCUCCUCCCGCCAGCUUGGGAACUCCCGCCCAUCCCUGAAGUUUGAGACCAAGUUGAAGAGGCCCAGCACAGACACGCCAUGGGACCGCAUCAUGGUGUUCUUCCCGCCUUUCCCGCCAGCGGCACCGUAGCCAGAGAUACUGCAAUGAGAGAUAAAAAGCAUGUUGUCUCCUGCCACCGGCCAAGACUGAACCUUCCCUGCCAACCCGGCAGUUUCCAGUGGGCCAAGCACAUCACUGUCAUGGUGGGAGGCCAGCAAGGGUAUUCCUCUUGAUGCUGUUGGGAGAGGGCGGUCAAGUUUAGAGAGACACAGAGAGUUGCCUGGGUCACAGAGCUAGGAAGGUGAAGGACAGUGGGGAAUGCUAGAGAGAAAGAGAGGGGAGACGGGCAAGCGAGACUGUAUUAGUGACUAAUGUGUUGGGGUGAUGGUUUCCCGAGCACCUACGAUUACCCCAUUAUGGCUUUCUCUUCUUGUCCCAGGUUAAAGAACUCAUGUGACCUCAGACAAGUAACUUCACGUCCCUGUUCCAUGUCUGCCCAGUGGGGAUCGCAGGAGAACUUGCCUCCCAGCCCACACAUGUCAUGCUGAUCAAAGGAACGAGACGUGUAGUCUUAGCACUGUGGUUGGCAUUAAUGAGCACUCGGGAAGAGUCAUUAUCAUUAGUGAUGACAGUAGCAGUCAUGGGCGUGGCACAAAGUUUUAAAGUCUCCCCGCAGGGUCUAGACACAAGGAGUUUGCUCCUGGAAUGACUGAGGAGAGCAGUGUCUACGAGCACAGACUGUUUAUUCCUGUCCCACAGCAACUCCUUCUGGAGCAAAGUGUGUGCCGACAACAAACAACCCAUCACGAUGCAAAUAAAAACAGCGUGGGGACGUGAGAUCCCUUCUGCUGCCUCUUAGGUUGUUUCCAUGAAGUCGAGCAUGGAUAGGGAAAAAAACCUCUCUUCUGCACCAUAGCAGAAGAGCGGUAUAUCUUGAAGACAGCGCCCUAGCUAACAAACGCUCCCCGGAGACUGCCAGGUGAAGGGACUUGGGAGGUUUGCCAAGUUCUCAUUCAGGUCCACAGUCCUCUGUGAAAAACUAAGAACAGAAGCAAGGACAUUGUGUCCCUGUGCACACGGCCUCUUCUCUGCCCACAGUUCUAGGAGCAGCCCAUGUUCUGAGCACGAGAGGGGCCCAGGGCUGUCUCCAGAGGUGAAGAUCAGGCUGUUUGCUAACGUGGCAGGCAAGGGACUGAGGUCUCUGUGGAAUUCAGACACAGAAUCUGGGGCCCAUGCUUGGGCACUGAAGGGAGCUUGUGGGGUGUCAGGAAUGACCCGAGGCUGUGUGCACCAGCAACAGCUGUGGGCCCUUGAAGGUCCCAGAAGGAAACUGGGAAGACAGUUUUCCUUAUGAAGAGAAGUUCCAUCGUAGGGUGGCCAAGUUGGGGAGACAAAGUGUAGGGCUCUGGGGUCCCUGAUCAGGCACCCCAUUUCCCGCCCACGUGCCUUCUGGGAGUCCCCAGCCCCUUCCUUAGUGAGAGAAGAAUCGUGCCGCCUUUUCCAAACCUCAUAGUAGUUAAGCAAAAGGAGAAGAUGGGUUCAAGCCCUGAGAAAGGAGCAAUCAGUGCAAAGUAAGGGUCUCAGGUGCUCAGGGCUGCAGCAGGUGGUUGUGGGGGUGGGGCUGGGGGUGGAGCUGGAGGAUGGGCCGGACUCUCUGACAAGUAGGAAGAGGUAGGGGAAGGAGUCAGGGCUUAUGUGAUACCUCUGACUACAGCAGGUGGCAGGGCAGGAAGCGGGGGGUUGUAGGUUUGGGGAGGCCCCUAGGGGCUGAUUGCCCAGCAUCCUCCAGUGUGCCAGGCAAGGUGUGCGCCCCAUACAUACAGCAUCCCCAAUAGCCAUAAACAGCAGGUGUCAUUAAUCUCAUUGGGCAGAUGGGAAAACUAAAGCCCAGAGGGAUUAAAUGGCUCAUCUCAGGCCACACAGCUGGUCAGUGGUGGACGGUGGUCCAAACCCACACACUUCCCCUCGUGGAAGCUAUUUCCCAUCCGACGUGCUUCUGGAACACAGCGAGGGUGGUCUGAGAAGCUGUGGGGUCUGCUGCCUUUGGACCCUCAGCCAAGCAUUCCCUUCUUAGCUCCUAGAGACAGGCAAGGUGGAAGGGAUAACGAAAAGGCCAAGAAAAGGAAGGCCAGAGGAAGUAGAAUCGUUUAGCUCAGAGAAUGGAAGCCCAGGUAGGGCAGGAGGCAGGAGCUGGUGGCUCCAGAGACUCUGCGGUCUGGGUACAGCAAUGCAGAUGGGUCCCAAGUCUGUCCUGCUCAUGGCUGCAGGUUUCUGGGGCUUGGUCAGGUUGCAUGAAAGAGUCACUUCAACCUGAAGAUGUGGUUUGCUCAGAGGUGAAAUCCCGGUCCUGCCCACUCCUGCUUGUGGCUGAGAGUUCUUGGUGGUGAGUGGGAAGGAAAGUGGCCUGAGUUCUGAGUCCUAUACUGGUUCUCGUCCUUGCUCUGCUGGCUGUGUGACCCGAGGCAGCUUGGUCAACUUCUCGGAGCCUCAGCUUUCACUACUGAGGAAUAAAAGGACAACAAGGAGCCCUGCCCUCCUGGGCAUAAAAGUGGUUUGAAAAGCUUGCAAACUGAUGUGAAACACCAGAUCGGCCUCUGGGCUGGGUCAGCUCAACAGAGUCCACAGUGGACACAGCCUGGCAGCCAGGUAGCAGCAGCUGGCUUGUAUUCCCCUUGGUGGUGGCCUCUGCCCCACAUUUCCAGCCUGGAGCAAGGCUGGCUUAAAGUUGUGGGGACAGGCAGCUGCCUGCCUGGACUACUGUGGGGGUCCCAGGAUAGACUGGCUCCCUCGUCAGCCCUCUGAGGGCUGAAGUCCCACGAUGAGAGCUUUACUUCUUUGGAAGUUUUCAGCUGCCACUACAUGGCUGAUCUCUGUGAGGGUAGGAUGUGCCACAGUAGAAAAAGCAAGGGCUUGAGAACAGACAGGCCUGGACCAAAGCCCAAACUCUGCUCCUCAGAGGUGAGAGUACAGGGUGGCUGGUGAGGUGUCUCCUUCUGAGGUGCUGAGCCUGCACUGGGUUGGCCCCGAGAGCUAGUGUCCCUUAGUUCUUUGCCCAAGGUGCCAGGCUUGCCUCUGCAUGGCCAUGAGCUGUGUGUCCUUGGUUAGGUUAUUUAUCAUCUCUGAGCCCAGUUUCCUUAUCUACAAAAAGGAGAAUGAAACACCUAUCUUGAAAGGUUGUCUGAGAAUUAAAUGAGAUAAUACUUAUCACGGACCUAAUUCAGUGCCAGAGCGUAGCUAGUGAGUGACAAAUGGUAGCUGAUAGUGGGGUGUCCCCCUGUGGGUGAGCCUGUCCUCUUCUUUCCCAAGGGUGACUUCUGGGAGGCAGAAGGGGGCAAGCAAAUGAGAAUAAGGACCAGAUAGGUAGAUAAGAGGGUAGCCAAGGGGAUCAGUUUGGGCCAGCACUCACCUCUGCACAGAUCCACAUCACACAAACUCGUGUCAGUAAGAACCUCAGACUGAGUCUCUGAAGCUUCCCCCCAUCCCUUGUAAACAAUUUAUUUUUGAUAGUUGACAAGCGACAAGAAAUUAAUAUACCUGCCACUCAAGUGGGGAAAAUGACUCACAGUGAUUCCAAUUUACUGGAAAUUACAAGACACUGUUCUCGACAAGUUGAUGCUGUAAUUUUUCUGUUUUUCCUCAUCUAAAUCCAUGUCCCCUGGUCAGAAUAGAUGUUUAUUGGGUUUGUGUUUUGUAUUAUCGACUGUGAGCUAUUGUUACCUGGUAUAAUUGGGUGGUGAAUCUUUUCUAAAUAAAGAAUUAGCAGCAAAUCAAAGUGGCCACCUGCUGGAACCUGAAAUGAGU